CCAAUAGCGUAUAUUAAAGUUGUUGCAGUUAAAAAGCUCGUAGUUGAAUUUCGGGAUUAGUGCGCUGGUCAUGCCUUUGGUAUGUACUGGUGUUACUGAUUCCUACCUUCUGAAGAACCGUUAUGUCAUUCAUUUGGUGUGGCGGGGAAUCAGGACUGUUACUUUGAAAAAAUUAGAGUGUUUAAAGCAGGCUCGCGCUUGAAUACAUUAGCAUGGAAUAAUGAAAUAGGACGUUUGACCCUAUUUUGUUGGUUUCUAGGAUCGACGUAAUGAUUAAUAGGGAUAGUUGGGGGCAUUAGUAUUCAAUUGUCAGAGGUGAAAUUCUUGGAUUUAUUGAAGACUAACUACUGCGAAAGCAUUUGCCAAGGAUGUUUUCAUUAAUCAAGAACGAAAGUUAGGGGAUCGAAGACGAUCAGAUACCGUCGUAGUCUUAACCAUAAACUAUGCCGACUAGGGAUCGGAUGAUGUUAAUUUUUUAAUGACUCAUUCGGCGCCUUACG
rnacentral:rRNA from 1 species